UACCCCCCGUUGGAAUAAGCAUAUCAAUAAGCGGAGGAAAAGAAACCAACAGGGAUUGCCUUAGUAGCGGCGAGUGAAGCGGCAAAAGCUCAAAUUUGAAAUCUGGCUCUUUCAGAGUCCGAGUUGUAAUUUGAAGAAGGUAUCUUUGGGUCUGGCUCUGUCUAUGUUUCUUGGAACAGAACGUCACAGAGGGUGAGAAUCCCGUGCGAUGAGAUGAUCCAGGCCUAUGUAAAGUUCCUUCGAAGAGUCGAGUUGUUUGGGAAUGCAGCUCUAAGUGGGUGGUAAAUUCCAUCUAAAGCUAAAUAUUGGCGAGAGACCGAUAGCGAACAAGUACAGUGAUGGAAAGAUGAAAAGAACUUUGAAAAGAGAGUGAAAAAGUACGUGAAAUUGUUGAAAGGGAAGGGCUUGAGAUCAGACUUGGUAUUUUGUAUGUUACUUCUUCGGGGGUGGCCUCUACAGUUUAUCGGGCCAGCAUCAGUUUGGGCGGUAGGAGAAUUGCGUUGGAAUGUGGCACGGCUUCGGUUGUGUGUUAUAGCCUUCGUCGAUACUGCCAGCCUAGACUGAGGACUGCGGUUUAUACCUAGGAUGUUGGUCAAUCGAACCCGG
rnacentral:rRNA from 1 species